UGGACUCUUCAUCUGUCUCUGAGAGAGAUGAAGCCUCACAGGUCAAGGCCAUUCAAGAACUCCAGAAGACUCUACAGGAACUGAAGGGUUUGCUAUCAGAGGAAUGUUAUCAGUCUGCUGAACGUUUGAUUGACAGAAUCAACAAGAACC